UCUGUAGAUACUGGAGCUGGUGAUUGAAAACUUUGUGCACCCUUGGUACAGAGACUUGACUGAUGACGAAGCCUUUAUUGAUGAACUAAGAGUAACUUUGCACUUCUUUGCGGCUGUUCUAGUCCGUCGAGCGCAGAAGAUUGAUUUUCCAGUCCUUGUAAACCAGAAGUUGUUAAAAGCGGCAAUGAAGCAUAUUGAAGUCAUAUCAAAAGCAAGGCAAAAAGUCAUAUGUUACCAUUCAUUCUGGGGAUUCGCACACCCCUAACAACACAUGAGACAAUUCAGCGCAGAUAUGCUGCUAUGCACAGGGAUGGAUAUUGAAUUAGUCAACCAAGUAAAACAUAGUGAAUAUUUACAACAAGCUGCAUUGGAAGAGUAUGGGCCGGAUCUGCACCUGGCUCUGAGAAGCCGCAGAGAUGAACUCCAAUAUCUUAGGAAAUUAACUGAGUUGCUGUUCCCAUACAUUCUACCACCGAAAGCCACAGAGUGCAGAUCUCUAGCCUUGUUGAUUCAAGAAAUUCUGGCUGGGUCAGUGUUUCUUCCCUCUUUGGACUUCUUGGCUGAUCCGGACACGGUGAACCAUUUGUUGCUGAUUUUCAUAGAUGAUAGUCCGCCAGAACCAGCGACUGAGCCUCCUUCGCCCUUGGUUCCCUUUCUUCAGAGAUAUGCUGAUGCAAGAAAUAAAGCCCAAUCGGCCCUAAAACUUGAGUUAAAGGAGAUAAGAGAGCAACAAGAUCUGCUCUUCUGGUUCAUGAACUUUCUGAAGCAAGAGGGUGCAGUGCAUGUGUUGCAAUUCUGUUUCACUGUCGAGGAAUUCAACGAUCGGAUCUUAUGUCCAGAGUUGACGGAUGACGAGAUGCAAACACUUCACGAGGAAGUGAAGAAAAUUUAUGUGACAUAUUGUCUUGAUGAAAGUAUUGAUAAAAUCAAAUUUGAUCCAUUUAUUGUGGAAGAGAUACAACAAGUUGCGGAAGGAUCUUAUAGGAAUGUAGUGAAACUUCAGACCAUGCGCUGUUUGUUCGAGGCAUAUGAACACGUCAUGAAUCUGCUUGAAACUGUAUUUACACCUAUGUUUUGUCACAGCGAUGAGUAUUUCAGAUAUUUGUUGAAAGGAGCAGAGUCAACAACGCGCAACUCCAAAUCCAAUAGAAGUAGCCUGAAUUUGGAUGAUUUUCGGGGCUCCAAUAAACGUGGAGAAUCUUUUGGAAUUAGUCGAAUAGGCAGCAAGCUCAAAGGAGUCUUUAAAAGCACAACGAUGGAAGGGGCUAUGUUGCCUAACUAUGGAUUACCAGCAGGAGGAGAUGAUCUUGUUGAAGAAGCAACAGUUGUGUCUGAGGAUGAUUUAAUUGAAGAAUUGGCAAUCACUCCUAAUGCUCAUCGUAACCUUUCUGCCUGGAAAAUAAGCAUUCCAUAUCUGGAUUUCUACUUUGACAGUAAAAAAGAGAAAGUCCCAGUGUUCUGUAUUGAAGUAAUUCGAAAUGAAGAAGCGUCAGAAGGACAUGAAAAUGAAAACUGCUUUGUUUACCGAAGAUAUUUUGAAUUUUACGUCCUAGAGUCGAAGCUUACAGAGUUUCAUGGAUCUUUCCCAGACGCACAACUUCCUUCAAAGCGGCUCAUUGGAUCCAAGAACUUUGACUUCCUAAAUUCUAAACGAGAAGAGUUUCAGGAAUAUCUGCAGAAUUUGCUGAAACACCCAGAACUGAGCAACAGCCAACUCCUGGCCGACUUUCUAUCCCCAGAUGGCUGUCAGUCACAGUUUCUUGAGAAAAUUCUUCCGGAUGUAAAUCUGGGGAAGAUUAUCAAGUCUGUCCCUGGAAAACUGAUCAAAGAGAAAGGCCAACAUCUAGAGUCGUUCCUCACAGCAUUCAUCAAUUCCUGUGAGGCUCCCAAACCGAAACCAAGUAGACCAGAACUCACCAUUCUCAGUCCUACUUCAGAAAACAACAAAAAGCUUUUUAAUGACUUGUAUAAAAAUAAUGCCAAUCGUUCUGAAAGUACAGAGAAGAAGUACAACCAGAACUACUUCAUGGAAAUGAUGACGUUAGAUGGUGUUUAUGAUUAUCUGAUGUACGUGGGGCGUGUUGUUUUUCGCAUGCCAGACUGGUUGCAUCACUUAUUAAUGGGUGGACGGAUUCUCCUUAAGAACACACUUGAAGCAUAUUGUGACAAUUACCUUCAGUAUAAGCUGAGCCAGUUGUUACAAGAACAUCGAGUGGUUUCCCUUAUAACCCUGCUCAGAGACUAUUUUCCUGCAUGUCUUGGGCUUUUAAACACAUCACUGUUAAAGUCGAGUGCACCACGUAUGACGACCAUGGAAAGGGAAGACGGCAUCGAGUUGAAUUAGGAACAAAAACAAAAGUUGCUGGAAAAGCUCAGCAGAUUCUGUCUUCUGUGAGAAUACUGAGCCUCGCUCUCUCGAAGACAAACAAAGGAGGGCAAAACAAACUUUUGAUGAAAUGAUGAACUACAUUCCAGAUUUUUUUGUGAAGUG